rnacentral:rRNA from 1 species
AACGCUAGCUACAGGCUUAACACAUGCAAGUCGAGGGGCAGCAUGAACUUAGCUUGCUAAGUUUGAUGGCGACCGGCGCACGGGUGAGUAACGCGUAUCCAACCUUCCGUACACUCAGGGAUAGCCUUUCGAAAGAAAGAUUAAUACCUGAUGGUAUGAUGAGAUUGCAUGGUAACAUCAUUAAAGAUUCAUCGGUGUACGAUGGGGAUGCGUUCCAUUAGAUAGUAGGCGGGGUAACGGCCCACCUAGUCGACGAUGGAUAGGGGUUCUGAGAGGAAGGUCCCCCACAUUGGAACUGAGACACGGUCCAAACUCCUACGGGAGGCAGCAGUGAGGAAUAUUGGUCAAUGGACGAGAGUCUGAACCAGCCAAGUAGCGUGAAGGAUGACUGCCCUAUGGGUUGUAAACUUCUUUUAUAAGGGAAUAAAGUGAGGGACGUGUCCCUUUUUGUAUGUACCUUAUGAAUAAGCAUCGGCUAACUCCGUGCCAGCAGCCGCGGUAAUACGGAGGAUGCGAGCGUUAUCCGGAUUUAUUGGGUUUAAAGGGAGCGUAGACGGGUCGUUAAGUCAGCUGUGAAAGUUUGAGGCUCAACCUUAAAAUUGCAGUUGAUACUGGCGUCCUUGAGUACGGUUGAGGCAGGCGGAAUUCGUGGUGUAGCGGUGAAAUGCAUAGAUAUCACGAAGAACUCCGAUUG